rnacentral:rRNA from 1 species
CCUACGGGUGGCAGCAGUGGGGAAUAUUGGGCAAUGGGCGCAAGCCUGACCCAGCAACGCCGCGUGAAGGAAGAAGGCUUUCGGGUUGUAAACUUCUUUUCUGAGGGAAGAAGAAAGUGCCGUUACCCUUGGAAUAAGCCACGGCUAACUACGUGCCAGCAGCCGCGGCAAUCCGUAGGUGGCAAGCGUUGUCCGGAUUUAUUGGGUGUAAAGGGCGUGUAGGCGGGAAAGCAAGUCAGAUGUGAAACCUCAGGGCUCAACCCUGAACCUGCAUUUGAAACUGUUUUUCUUGAGUGCUGGAGAGGCAAUCGGAAUUCCGUGUGUAGCGGUGAAAUGCGUAGAUAUACGGAAGAACACCAGUGGCGAAGGCGGAUGGCUGGACAGUAACUGACGCUGAGGCGCGAAAGCGUGGGGAGCAAACAGGAUUAGAUACCCGAGUAGUC